UAGCCCGAUUUAGCCCCGAUUUCCCCCUCCCGAGAAUCGGAGCAAAAAUCUUGUCAAGCCCCUCGAUCGCUCCCGAUGUUCGGCACGGAUUAUCUGGUAAUGUGAGGCAUUCACAGAUCGAAUCUUGCACCUCCCGAUCUGCUCGCGCACAAAUCGGGGCCGCUCCGAUCAUAUCAAACAUGCAGGGGAAGAUAAUCUGCAAAGAUUCUCCUU